AGAGUUUGAUCAUGGCUCAGAACGAACGCUGGCGGCGUGCCUAACACAUGCAAGUCGAGCGCGAAAGUUUCCUUCGGGAAGCGAGUAGAGCGGCGAACGGGUGAGUACAACGUAGGUAACCUACCCCCGAGACUGGGAUAACCUGUCGAAAGACGGGCUAAUACCGGAUAAGACCACGAGGGCUGCGGCCCUUGGGGCAAAAGGUGGCCUCUGCUUGCAAGCUACUACUCGAGGAGGGGCCUGCGCGCCAUUAGCUAGUUGGUGAGGUAACGGCUCACCAAGGCGAAGAUGGCUAGCUGGUCUGAGAGGAUGGCCAGCCACACUGGGACUGAGACACGGCCCAGACUCCUACGGGAGGCAGCAGUGGGGAAUCUUGCGCAAUGGGCGAAAGCCUGACGCAGCGACGCCGCGUGGGUGAUGAAGGCCUUCGGGUCGUAAAGCCCUGUCGGGAGGGAAGAAAUCUCAUCGGCCUAAUAUGCCGAUGACUUGACGGUACCUCUAAGGAAGCACGGCUAACUCCGUGCCAGCAGCCGCGGUA
rnacentral:rRNA from 1 species